AUACGUAGGUGACAAGCGUUAUCCGGAUUUACUGGGCGUAAAGGGCGUGUAGGCGGUCUUGCAAGUCAGAAGUGAAAUUCCUGAGCUCAACUCGGGCGCUGCUUCUGAAACUGCAGGACUUGAGUGCUGGAGGGGAUAGCGGAAUUCCUAGUGGAGCGGUAAAAUGCGCAGAUAUUAGGAAGAACACCGGUGGCGAAGGCGCUUCUCAGGACUGUAACGGACGCUGAGGCGCUAAAGCGUGGCGAGCAAACAGGAUGAAUUUCCCUGGUAGCCCACGCCGUAAACGAUGAAUACUAGGUGUAGUGGGUAUCGACUCCCUCUGUGCCGCAGUUAACACAAUAAGUAUUCCGCCUAGGGAGUACGGCCUCAAGGUUGAAACUCAAAGGAAUUGACGGGG
rnacentral:rRNA from 1 species